rnacentral:rRNA from 1 species
AACGUAGGAGACAAACGUUAUCCGGAGUUACUGGGCGUAAAGGGCGUGUAGGUGGUUUCGUAAGUCUGGCGUGAAAUUUCUCGGCUUAACCGAGGCAGGUCGUCGGAUACUGCGGAACUUGAGGACGGUAGAGGCGUGUGGAAUUCCGGGUGUAGUGGUGGAAUGCGCAGAUAUCAGGAGGAACACCAAUAGCGAAGACAGCUCGCUGGGACGUUACUGACACUGAGGCGCGAAAGCGUGGGGAGCGAACAGG